UACAGAGGGGGCAAGCGUUGUUCGGAAUUACUGGGCGUAAAGGGCGCGUAGGCGGCCUUCUAAGUCGAACGUGAAAUCCCUGGGCUCAACCCAGGAACUGCGUCCGAUACUGGAAGGCUUGAAUCCGGGAGAGGGAUGCGGAAUUCCAGGUGUAGCGGUGAAAUGCGUAGAUAUCUGGAGGAACACCGGUGGCGAAGGCGGCAUCCUGGACCGGUAUUGACACUGAAAAGCGAAAGCCAGGGGAGCAAACGGG
rnacentral:rRNA from 1 species